CUUGGCGGCCAUAGCGCGGUGGUCCCACCUGAUCCCAUGCCGAACUCAGAAGUGAAACGCCGUAGCGCCGAUGGUAGUGUGGGGUCUCCCCAUGU
rnacentral:rRNA from 1 species